rnacentral:tRNA from 2 species
GCCGGUGUAGCUCAACAGGCAGAGCAGCUGACUUGUAAUCAGCAGGUUGGCGGUUCAAGUCCGCCCGCCGGCU